CCUACGGGAGGCAGCAGUGAGGAAUAUUGGUCAAUGGACGAGAGUCUGAACCAGCCAAGUAGCGUGCAGGAUGACGGCCCUAUGGGUUGUAAACUGCUUUUAUACAGGGAUAAAGUGCACUACGUGUAGUGUUUUGUAGGUACUGUAUGAAUAAGGACCGGCUAAUUCCGUGCCAGCAGCCGCGUAAU
rnacentral:rRNA from 1 species